UACGGAGGGGGCUAGCGUUGUUCGGAAUUACUGGGCGUAAAGCGCGCGUAGGCGGACCUGCAAGUCGGGGGUGAAAGCCCGAGGCUCAACCUCCGGAACUGCCUUCGAUACUGCGGGUCUCGAGUCCGGGAGAGGUGAGUGGAAUUCCUAGUGUAGAGGUGAAAUUCGUAGAUAUUAGGAAGAACACCAGUGGCGAAGGCGGCUCACUGGCGUCGGUACUGACGCUGAGGCGACGAAAGCGUGGGGAGCAAACAGG
rnacentral:rRNA from 1 species